UUUUCGUAAUAGAGCUAAGGAUUGGUCCGUCGGGAAGGGAUUUAAGGAUUGAGUCCGUGAGGACGUGGCAAGGCGUGAGUGGUCCGUCCGGCUGGGGUUGUGUUUAGUGUGUGGAAAAAAAAUUCACAAUCUUUAUGACGAAAAAAAAAAUUGAGAGCAACUUUUCUAAGGCGACGAAGAAGACGAAGAGGAAGGAGAUCUUAGGGUCCCCUCCAGAUGACUACACCAAUCACCAUCGGAAAAUAAGCUUCGGCGGAGUAAUUCUCUCGCUAAUGGAACCUGCUCAGAUCGAAUCUGAUUUGAUAUCCUCGUCUGAGACGGCGCGUUUGAUUUCUUUGACGAGACCCGGAUCAGGCAUGCGUCGCACGCCGGAAGGAUGGCUUUCUGGACAUUGAUAAAAGGUCUGCUGCUCUUUGCAAAUGCGUUUGUUUCAUCCACCGUGUCUACUCCUCAGACCUCGAGCUUGCAGGAGCUGAAGCAAAGUGUGUUAUUUGCUUGUCUGAAUUCGAACAAGUAAUGUAUCAAUCGUUAUGUUCGUUGAUGUUUCGAACGGGCUUAGCUUUGCUUCGUAAUGAAACGAGGAUUCUCACAAUCUCCUUCUAGCUCCACUCCUCCUCCUUCAUCCAGAUUCAAAUCCAACCCUCAAGGUUCGAAUCGAUUU